rnacentral:tRNA from 1 species
GGUUAUUUAGUUUAAGAAAAAACUUAUGUUUUGAAAGCAUACUAUAGAGACAUUCUCUAAUAGCCG